rnacentral:rRNA from 1 species
AGCGAACGCUGGCGGCAGGCUUAACACAUGCAAGUCGAGCGGGCAUAGCAAGAUGUCAGCGGCAGACGGGUGGGUAACGGGUGGGAACGUACGUUAGGGUUCGGAACAACACAGGGAAACAAGUGCUAAUACCGGAUAAGCACAUACGGGGAGAGAUUUAUCGCCGAAAGAUCGGCCCUCGUCUGAUUGGCUAGUUGGUGAGGUAAUGGCUCACCAAGGCGACGGUCAGUAGCUGGUCUGAGAGGAUGAUCAGCCACAUUGGGACUGAGACCCGGCCCAAUCUCCUACGCGACGCAGCAGUGGGGAACAUUGUACACUGGGCGCAAGCCUGAUCCCGCCAUGCCGCGUGAGUGAUGAAGGCCCUAGUGUUGUAAAGCUCUUUUGUGCGGGAAGAUAAUGACGGUACCGCAAGAAUAAGCCCCGGCUAACUUCGUG